rnacentral:rRNA from 1 species
GAUGAACGCUGCCGGCGUGCCUAAUACAUGCAAGUCGAGCGAACGGACGAGAAGCUUGCUUUUCUGAUGUUAGCGGCGGACGGGUGAGUAACACGUGGAUAACCUACCUAUAAGACUGGGAUAACUUCGGGAAACCGGAGCUAAUACCGGAUAAUAUUUUGAACCGCAUGGUUCAAAAGUGAAAGACGGUCUUGCUGUCACUUAUAGAUGGAUCCGCGCUGCAUUAGCUAGUUGGUAAGGUAACGGCUUACCAAGGCAACGAUGCAUAGCCGACCUGAGAGGGUGAUCGGCCACACUGGAACUGAGACACGGUCCAGACUCCUACGGGAGGCAGCAGUAGGGAAUCUUCCGCAAUGGGCGAAAGCCUGACGGAGCAACGCCGCGUGAGUGAUGAAGGUCUUCGGAUCGUAAAACUCUGUUAUUAGGGAAGAACAUAUGUGUAAGUAACUGUGCACAUCUUGACGGUACCUAAUCAGAAAGCCACGGCUAACUACGUG